rnacentral:tRNA from 1 species
GGGCCCGUAGCUCAACGGUAGAGCAGUAGCCUCUUAAGCUAUUGGUUGAGAGUUCGAAUCUCUCCGGGCUCA